rnacentral:rRNA from 1 species
UACGUAGGGUGCAAGCGUUAAUCGGAAUUACUGGGCGUAAAGCGCGCGUAGGUGGUUCAGUAAGUUGGAAGUGAAAUCCCCGGGCUCAACCUGGGAACUGCUUUCAAAACUGCUGAGCUAGAGUACGGUAGAGGGUGGUGGAAUUUCCUGUGUAGCGGUGAAAUGCGUAGAUAUAGGAAGGAACACCAGUGGCGAAGGCGACCACCUGGACUGAUACUGACACUGAGGUGCGAAAGCGUGGGGAGCAAACAGG